rnacentral:rRNA from 1 species
UCGAACGCGAAAGCCGCAAGGUGAGUAGCGUGGCGGACGGGCGAGUAACGCGUAAUCAAGCUGCCUGCGAGACGGGGAUAACCUCGGGAAACCGAGGCUAAGACCCGAUGGUCUGGACUGGCUGCAUGGCUGGUCCAGUAAAUGGGCGGGAUCCUUUGGGAUCGCCUGCUCGCAGAGGUGAUUGCGUCCCAUCAGCUAGUUGGUAGGGUAAUGGCCUACCAAGGCGACGACGGGUAGCCGGCCUUAGAGGGUGGUCGGCCGCACUGGGACUGAGACACUGCCCAGACUCCUACGGGAGGCUGCAGUCGAGAAUCUUCCGCAAUGGGCGAAAGCCUGACGGAGCGACGCCGCGUGGAGGACGAAGGCCUUCGGGUUGUAAACUCCUGUCACGAGUUAAGAAGGGUCUGCGGCGAACAGCCGUAGACUUUGACGUAAGCUCGAGAGGAAGCACUGGCUAACUCUGUGCCAGCAGCCGCGGUAAUACAGAGAGUGCGAACGUUGUUCGGAAUUACUGGGCUUAAAGCGCACGUAGGCGGUGCUGUAAGUGUCAGGUGAAAUCCCACGGCUCACCCGUGGAACUGCCUGGCAGACUGCGGUACUAGAGUGUGGUAGGGGAGAGCGGAACUCCUGGUGGAGCGGUGAAAUGCGUAGAUAUCAGGAGGAACACCGGUGGCGAAGGCGGCUCUCUGGUCCACAACUGACGCUGAGGUGCGAAAGCUAGGGGAGCAAACGGGAUUAGAUACCCCGGUAGUCCUAGCUGUAAACGAUGGGCACUAGCUUGGGGUCUCCCUGUGUGAUCCCAGGUGUAGUAAAAAUGAUAAGUGCCCCGCCUGGGGGAGUAUGGUCGCAAGGCUGAAACUCAAAGGAAUUGACGGG